rnacentral:rRNA from 1 species
UACGAAGGGGGCUAGCGUUGCUCGGAAUCACUGGGCUUAAAGGGCGCGUAGGCGGGCUUGCAAGUCUGCGGUGAAAGCCUCCAGCUUAACUGGAGAAGUGCCGUGGAUACUGCGAGCCUCGAGGAGGGUAGGGGCGUCUGGAACGUUGGGUGGAGCGGUGAAAUGCGUUGAUAUCCAACGGAACUCCGGUGGCGAAGGCGAGGCGCUGGACCCUUUCUGACGCUGAGGCGCGAAAGCCAGGGGAGCGAACGGG